rnacentral:rRNA from 1 species
AGGGCUUCGCAGGCGGUUUUUUAAGUCUGAUGUGAAAGCCCCCGGCUCAACCGGGGAGGGUCAUUGGAAACUGGGGAACUUGAGUGCAGAAGAGGAGAGUGGAAUUCCACGUGUAGCGGUGAAAUGCGUAGAGAUGUGGAGGAACACCAGUGGCGAAGGCGACUCUCUGGUCUGUAACUGACGCUGAGGAGCGAAAGCGUGGGGAGCGAACAGGAUUAGAUACCCUGGUAGUCCACGCCGUAAACGAUGAGUGCUAAGUGUUAGGGGGUUUCCGCCCCUUAGUGCUGCAGCUAACGCAUUAAGCACUCCGCCUGGGGAGUACGGUCGCAAGACUGAAACUCAAAGGAAUUGACGGGGGCCCGCACAAGCGGUGGAGCAUGUGGUUUAAUUCGAAGCAACGCGAAGAACCUUACCAGGUCUUGACAUCCUCUGACAAUCCUAGAGAUAGGACGUCCCCUUCGGGGGCAGAGUGACAGGUGGUGCAUGGUUGUCGUCAGCUCGUGUCGUGAGAUGUUGGGUUAAGUCCCGCAACGAGCGCAACCCUUGAUCUUAGUUGCCAGCAUUCAGUUGGGCACUCUAAGGUGACUGCCGGUGACAAACCGGAGGAAGGUGGGGAUGACGUCAAAUCAUCAUGCCCCUUAUGACCUGGGCUACACACGUGCUACAAUGGACAGAACAAAGGGCAGCGAAACCGCGAGGUUAAGCCAAUCCCACAAAUCUGUUCUCAGUUCGGAUCGCAGUCUGCAACUCGACUGCGUGAAGCUGGAAUCGCUAGUAAUCGCGGAUCAGCAUGCCGCGGUGAA